rnacentral:rRNA from 1 species
UACGUAGGGGGCGAGCGUUAUCCGGAAUUACUGGGCGUAAAGCGCACGCAGGCGGUUCGCCAAGUUUGGAGUGACAGUUGUCGGCUCAACCGACAAAGGACUUCAAAAACUGGUGAACUUGAGGACGAGAGAGGAACAUGGAACUCCAGGUGUAGUAGUGAAAUGCGUAGAUAUCUGGAAGAACACCAAUGGCGAAGGCAAUGUUCUGGCCCGUUUCUGACGCUCAGGUGCGAAAGCCAGGGGAGCGAACGGG